rnacentral:rRNA from 1 species
UACGUAGGGGCCUAGCGUUGUCCGGAUUUAUUGGGCGUAAAGAGCUCGUAGGCGGUUCGGUAAGUCAGGUGUGAAAUCUCCACGCUCAACGUGGAGGCGCCACCUGAAACUGCCGUGACUAGAGUCCGGUAGGGGAGUGUGGAAUUCCCGGUGUAGUGGUGAAAUGCGUAGAUAUCGGGAGGAACACCAGUGGCGAAGGCGACUACCUGGCCUGUUCUUGACGCUGAGGCGCGAAAGCUAGGGGAGCAAACGGG